rnacentral:rRNA from 1 species
AGAUUGAACGCUGGCGGCAGGCCUAACACAUGCAAGUCGAGCGGUAGAGAGGUGCUUGCACCUCUUGAGAGCGGCGGACGGGUGAGUAAUGCCUAGGAAUCUGCCUAGUGGUGGGGGAUAACGUUCGGAAACGGACGCUAAUACCGCAUACGUCCUACGGGAGAAAGCGGGGGACCUUCGGGCCUCGCGCCAUUAGAUGAGCCUAGGUCGGAUUAGCUAGUUGGUGAGGUAAUGGCUCACCAAGGCGACGAUCCGUAACUGGUCUGAGAGGAUGAUCAGUCACACUGGAACUGAGACACGGUCCAGACUCCGUACGGGAGCAGCAGUGGGGAAUAGUUGGACAAGUGGGGACGAAAGCCUGGACUCCAGCCCAU